AUGAGUGGUUAUUUCUUGAACUAUAUUUAGUUUACUGCACUUAAAUAAACCAGGGAAUUGUGUUUAUUUGUCUGUUAUUUCCCCGUUUUCCGAAUUCUGCUUAAUUUGGUCGGAAAUUUGUAAUUGUGCUAAUUUGGGUUUUCUGAGCUGAUUAAGUGUAUUUUGGUUGCAGGGAAAUUUUGGGAAACAUAAAUUGGAGCAUUAGGGAUGGUGGCAUAAUUAUUCAAGACUCAACAUUUAGCCAUUUCCAUUUUUUUAAAGUUGUAAUUUCGUUUUUUUAGAAACCUUAAUUAGAUUAAGUGCAUUUGGGCCCUUUUGUGGCAAAUUUUGUAGAAGCCCAAUGUGUGGGACACUUGGCACCAAAACCCUAGGUUUUUAGGAGGUGGACCCCACCUAUUUUGUGAAGUUGGACGGUAUUUCCUAGGGCAAUUGCCGAACACACACACAACUCACUCAUUCCACACUUUUGCUUUAACUUUGCCUUGUAUGAACUCUCUCUUAGAGCCUUGGUGUGCCAUUUUCGGUUUUCUACCAUGAAUGAACAAGAACAUGUUUUUCUUCUUCUAUUGCUUGCAACAAUGCUUGUUCUUGUUUGAUGGAAUGAAGCUCUACCAUUUCUCUCUUUAGAUUUUCGUUUUGAAGUGAAUUCGAAUUUAUCUUGAGUUUCUUGGUUUGGAGGAUGAAAAUGGAGUUGUUGUCAAGUUUGGUAGUGAAAAAUGCUUAAGUUGGUACAUCGGUAUAGGAUUCUUGAACCAUUUUCUUCUAGCAUUUUGUUUUUGAUGUUUGGAAGCAUAUUUUGAGCUGGACUUUGUGAUUGAUGAUGGUGGCUGGACGGUAAUGCUAGGGAAGCUAGAGGUUUGGUUUUGUUUUGGUCAAAAAAGUUGAAGAAAGAUGAGUGGUGAAGUUGGAUUUAUGAAGGUAGAACUUGGUUUUGCUAUGCUUGUGUUGAUUUGCAUUUGAAACUUGGGUUUCUUUGUGUGUGUUCUCAGUAAUGGAGAAUGGAAGGAACAAUUUGAAUGUUGCUUGUUGAAGAAAAACCAAAAAGAGUGGUGCAAGGAGAUAGAAUGCUUCAUUUAAUUCUUUACCUCAUUUGGCCAUGCACAUGAAGGGGACAUUUUCCAUAGGAAGGAAUAUUUCCAUUUUGGUUUUGUCCUACUAUCACUUGAAAUUGCCGUGAGUAGCUUUGGAGAUGGGAGGUUAUUGUGAUUGUUUUCCCUUGCCUUGACUUUGCACAUGUGGCAUCUUGAAAGAAGAGAUUAAAGCACCCCUUUGACUUGUGGACUUUUUAGAAGCAUUCUUUGCACCCAACUAUUGCAUUGCUCACGUGAAUUUGUGUUCCUUAGUGUGAGGUUUUGUUUUUGCUGCAUGGAAAGGAGUGAUGGGACGAUUUUGAAUGAUUUGGAAGGCAUAUGAUUGUUGUCUUGAAGUAUGGUGCAUAUGAGACAAAGAGUCAACACAUCUUGCAUGGUUCAUUUAAGGAAGAAAGCCAAGAAUUGAAGUUGGGCCUUGGUGGACUAGGAGCUCACGGCCCAAGGGGGUUUUCUCAAGCUAAUUGCACUUUUAAUUUCAUUUGGUAGAUGAAUAUUGGUCAUAUAAUUGAUGGAUGAAAAAACAUGUUUAAUUACCCCUUUGUUUUGCAUUAAUUUGCAUAGUAGGAAUAGUAGGUUUUGAUGUCUCUAAUUUAGUGUUGCAUUUUAUAGUCUUACUUGUGUUUAGAUAAUUGUUUGUUGAAAUGUUGGGAUUAGCACUUUAUUUUACCUUGAUGUUUUCUAACUUACACAGUUGAGUUUAAUGUCCAUUCGUUUUAAUUUAGUUAUUCGUAUUCGCAAAAAUACUUUUCAAAACCCCCCCUUUUUCGUGCUAGACUUGACUCUGAACCGCAGUUGGUCCUUGAGAGAUGACCUAGGGGUCAUUCCCUAGCAUUAUACUGCAGUUCUAAAUUGCAAUCAAAUUUGUAUGGGCAGCGAAAUCCAUCAUAAAGCACCGCAUCUCCUCCUAGACCAAAUUAAAUGCAAUGUUCUUUCAAUCACCCACCGUAACCCUUUUGCUCGCAAAUUGAAUUGACACUUUCUUCAAAAGAAAAAUGACCGCACCUGCCUCCAUCCUGGACUUAACCGUGUGCUCCCAAGAUAAAUCAAAUUUGAAUCAGUGUUAUUCU
rnacentral:lncRNA from 1 species